rnacentral:lncRNA from 1 species
AAGAAAUUUUCAUUUCCAAGAGUCCAGAGAGGCUCUCAAAUACAUUUUUCUUUUUUCACUUUAAUGUGAUUUUCUUUUAAUCUUGACAUAUGUACUACAGAUAAAAUCUUGCAUAAUUUGAUAUUUUUAUUUGGACUAUAACCUCUAGGUGACUGUCAGUAUUAGUAAAGGAAUGAUUCAGUGCAGGAAUAUUGCUCAGCUAAUCUUGUGACAUUUUGAGCAUGAGUUGUCAUUUUUCUGGCAUGGUUUGUUAUUGAACAAAUUAGAUUUCCUAAGAACACGGUGGCCAUUACUUUUUCUGAUGUAAUGAAACACUCGGUUAACUUGUUUUAGGUCGCCUUGCAAAUCUGCACUACAUUACUUUCAUUUUCCUCAAAUCUCACAAAUCAUUUGGUCUGAGAGCUUGAAUGAGAAUUCUCCAAAGUAAACUUGAAAGCUUCAAGGUCCCACAGCAAUAUUCUCCAAGAGACUACUUGGCCACAUCUGCAGAGGGCUGAGGUUUUGGGUGGGCUUCACAGUCUCUAAGGCCUCCUGUGUCCUAUGGCCUUGGUGAAGGCUCUUAUGUGGUUCUCAAGAAGCCCAUGUUUUAAGAAGUCCACCUUUUAUUUCAAGAUUCAGCACUACCACUGAGGAAGGAGCAUGACAAGCAAAAUUUAUUUGGAUAAUUCAGUAAAUGACAUAUUUGAUUUGGAAGCAUAGUUUGUCAGAAUGCAGGAAACAAGGGAAUGACAAGGCAGCAUCAUGUGCAGGUAAAUAGCAACGUACUCCCUGAGCCCUGCAACACACAGUGGGUGAAAUCAGCCAGGCACAUGAGUAGAUUACCACACUGUUUACAUCUUCAGAGUUUGGUCCUGCCCCCAAGUCUCUGAUCCUUGCACACACCAGGAGGGAGAACCUUUGCUAGACACAGUGGGGCAGUGAAUUAUACUCCAUUUUGGCUAUCAACAGGGAAAGGGCCUGUCCUUGGAUGACUGACCCCUCUCUUUGAUUCUAACUGGUGGUUGCUUGUGGGUUUUCAUUUGUUUGUUUGUUUUUUUACCUUCUUCCUCUGAUGCCUCAUCUGCCUCAGGGAGAAGAGGCACAAGAAUGUGGAAUAUGUGACCCAUGUACAUGAAGAUAUUCCUGGUUCACUCAAAAGUACGAUUUUGAGAAGCCCACCUAGAGUCAGAAGGCCCUUGAAAGAUGCAGACCCUCAACUUUGGACUUCCCA